GAUGAACGCUGGCGGUAUGCUUAACACAUGCAAGUCGAACGGACUCUUCGGAGUUAGUGGCGGACGGGUGAGUAACGCGUGAGAAUCUGGCUUUGGGUUCGGGACAACCACUGGAAACGGUGGCUAAUACCGGAUGUGCCGAGAGGUAAAAGAGAAAUUGCCUGAAGAUGAGCUCGCGUCUGAUUAGCUAGUUGGUGAGGUAAAGGCUCACCAAGGCAGCGAUCAGUAGCUGGUCUGAGAGGAUGACCAGCCACACUGGGACUGAGACACGGCCCAGACUCCUACGGGAGGCAGCAGUGGGGAAGUGUCCGCAAUGGGCGAAAGCCUGACGGAGCAAUACCGCGUGAGGGAAGAAGGCUCUUGGGUUGUAAACCUCUUUUCUUAGGGAAGAACAAAAUGACGGUACCUAAGGAAUCAGCAUCGGCUAACUCCGUG
rnacentral:rRNA from 1 species